CAUAUACUUUAUAAAACAUUUUAAAUAAAGAAACAAUUAAACUCCUCUUUAAUGUCACUAGCCAGAUCAAUAUUUUGGUGUGUGUUCUUCUAUUCUAUUUUUUAUUUAUAUAUCUUUUUUAUUUUCAUAAAAUUGCAAACUUAUGCCUUUAACUUUUUUCUCAAUACUCGUCAACAUGUUACCAAGCAUUUUUCAAUAAUAUCUGAGGGAUGAGCAUCUUUGCAAAUCUAAUAGCUAAAAAGAGGUGUGUUGAGUUAAUUUCCUAGAAUACUACUAAGAUUAAACAAGAGACAUUUGAUAUUUUUAAAUUCUUUACCUUCACCUGGAACACACCAACAGAAAAUCAGAGGCAAAGAGCACAGCAGCGAAACCUUAAAACCAAGCACAUGAGCACACGGCAUGAAGUUCGCAGCUGUUUUUAAUCCUUACAGGCUAAAACUUGGUGAACUAUAUAUGAUUUUAUAGUAUAUGGAUUUUUAAAUUCAGACAUACAAAAAAAGUGCAUUGGUUUACUGGAAUUUAACACAGCAAUGCCAUCAUAUGUCAUUCCAGGGUAAGUAAUCCUCCAACAAUGGGGAGAGGAGUCACUAAAAAGACUAACAUGAACCAAGUAUUCACCUUCAAAGAGAGACAACAUAGAUCUACCGAAAAUUCCAAGUAUUAUGACAUACGAAUUUUCCUGAAAACAAGAAUGUUAAUAUGUGUCCACCCUAACGAGAUGUUCACAAGAACAAAACAGCAACUUUUGAGCAAGCCAAGGUCCAGAGAGCGCUAGUAACAGCCAACAAACUUGACACAAAGCGACCUUCACCACACCUGGGUAUCUUGGAUGCUCGCUAGGGAACAACCAGUGGCCCUUUACCAGCAAGAGGAAGCGGACAGCAGCGCGCAGACAGGCGCGGGAGGAGAGGCGACCGGAGCCUACUGCUCUCGCACUGUACGUGAAACCUGCAAAGCUCAUGAAACCGCACCUCUAGCCCUACAGGCCCCUGAAAGCGCUCUCGGGCCCCAAACCCCAAAGCUU
rnacentral:lncRNA from 1 species